rnacentral:lncRNA from 1 species
AACACGAAUAAAGCAGUAUUAGGCCUAAAUAUUGCUGCAAGUGGCUGAAGUAUUAGAAAUUACUGCUAUGUGGAGUGGCAAAAUCAAAUGUACAAAAUGUAAUUGGACAACAGAUAAUGAGGAAAAUCUUUUUAUGAAAACGAAUAUUUUUAAUAUUCGUAAUGUAUAUUUUUUUGAUGUAGGUAUAUAUAUUGUAUUUUGGGUUUUAUGAACACUUUGACUCCAUUGAUCAGGCAUUGAUAUUUCAUAAUCUUAAUGUUUCGAAUUCACAUGGAUUUUUCAUCAGAUUUUGUGCCAAAGUUAAUUUAAACUUAUCAAUUGGAAUGUGGUACAGGAACAAGGAACUUUCAUUUCAACUACUGAAAAACAUUAUUCACAAUAAUCAUAUUAAUGAGUGUGAUAUUUUAUUGAACAUACUGACUAUUUCAAUUCCCUGUCUACUUCCGAUUUUGUUUCUGAAAAUAUUUAAAAGAACUGGUGUUACCUCAUCAUCAAUUUUCUGAUGUCCUUCUCUUUCUUAAAUUAUGAAAUUGUAUGUGUAGUAUGGAAAUCACUAUUUCUUACACUUUCAAUAAUAUUGUAAUAUUCAAACAAAGGAUGAAAUAAAUUCUAAAUCAAA